GUUGAGAACCACUGGUCUAAAAGCACUGAAUCUCAUCUGAUCUUGACAGCUAAGCAGGAUCAGCCCUGUUUAGUACCUUGACAGGAGAUUACCAAUGAACACUGGGUGCCGAAAGCU
rnacentral:rRNA from 1 species